UGGAAUCAGUUAAAAGCAUUUUCAUAUAAAGGACUUUCUUCUUUCUGUUAUAGUGCCAGCAUCUUUUUAAAUAGUCUGAUCACUGAUGUGAGUUGAUGUUAGGGCGAGUGCUUGGAGCAUGAGCUAGUUUAGCAGCGCAACUCAAUCUAGGCUAAAGGCUCUCAUUUCCUUAAAUAGAAAAUUCUUUGUCUUGAAGUUGUUGGACUAUUUUCUUAAACUUGUAAAAUUUUCUUAGCUGGAUGUCUAUUGUGUGCGGGAUAAGCUUUUCAGUCGACCAUCUGUAUGCUGUCAAUAAUGAUGAUGUAUGAGUGAACAAAAACUAUGCAUGCUCAACAAUUGGAGGAUGAAAUAUCCAGUUUUGUGGGAAACCCAGUGCAACUCUAAGUUGAUGCUUUUGACGACGAGGCCUUCAAUAAUGAGUUCAAUAUCCUGUUGUAAGGUAGUGAUAGGCAACAUAUAAAUGACAAUGCCUAUUAUGCUUUGCCCUUCAGCACAUGGUAGUUGAUAGGAAGGAUUCUGUGGAUUAGCUUAUAUGCCCUUUUGGCCUUUCAACUGGAUAAGACGAGGCCUUCAAUAAUGAGUUCAAUAUCCUGUUGUAAGGUAGUGAUAGGCAACAUAUAAAUGACAAUGCCUAUUAUGCUUUGCCCUUCAGCACAUGGUAGUUGAUAGGAAGGAUUCUGUGGAUUAGCUUAUAUGCCCUUUUGGCCUUUCAACUGGAUAAUGUAUUUCCUUACUUUUACAAGUAAUUUUCUCUUCUUGGAUGCAUUUAUCCAUUGUUCAGGUGACGUAUGUUAGUCACCUGUGGUUUAUGGAUUUUGUAGUAUCAAGGGCCUUUUUU
rnacentral:lncRNA from 1 species